rnacentral:rRNA from 1 species
UGGGGAAUUUUGCACAAUGGGGGAAACCCUGAUGCAGCGACGCCGCGUGAUUUAGAAGGCCUUCGGGUUGUAAAAAUCCUUUCUAUGGGAAGAAAAUGACAGUACCAUAGGAAUAAGGACCGGCUAAUUACGUGCCAGCAGCCGCGGUAAUACGUAAGGUCCGAGCGUUGUCCGGAAUCAUUGGGCGUAAAGGGUACGUAGGCGGGUAAGCAAGUUAGAAGUGAAAUCCUAUAGCUCAACUAUAGUAAGCUUUUAAAACUGCUCAUCUUGAGGUAUGGAAGGGAAAGUGGAAUUCCUAGUGUAGCGGUGAAAUGCGCAGAUAUUAGGAGGAAUACCGGUGGCGAAGGCGACUUUCUGGCCAUAACCUGACGCUGAGGUACGAAAGCGUGGGUAGCAAACAGG